rnacentral:misc_RNA from 1 species
UACGUAGGGUGCAAGCGUUAAUCGGAAUUAUUGGGCGUAAAGGGUGCGCAGGCGGUUAUGUAAGUCAGAUGUGAAAGCCCUGGGCUUAACCUAGGAAUUGCGUUUGAAACUAUAUAACUAGAGUGUGGCAGAGGGGAGUGGAAUUCCAUGUGUAGCAGUGAAAUGCGUAGAGAUGUGGGAGAACACCGAUGGCGAAGGCAGCUCCCUGGGUUAACACUGACGCUCAGGCACGAAAGCGUGGGGAGCAAACAGG